rnacentral:rRNA from 1 species
CCUACGGGGGACAGCAGUGAGGAAUAUUGGUCAAUGGGCGGGAGCCUGAACCAGCCAAGUCGCGUGAGGGAAGACGGUCCUGCGUAUCGUAAACCUCUUUUGUCAGGGAGCAAAGGCGGGGACUAGUCCCCGGAUGAGGGUACCUGAAGGAAAAGCAUCGGCUAACCCCGUGCCCGCAGCCGCCGUAAUAAGGAGGAUGCGAGCGUUUUACGGAUUUAUUGGGUUUUAAGGGUGCGCAGGCGGCAGGUUAAGUCAGCGGUAAAAGGCCGGGGCCCAACCCCGGCGUGCCGUUGAAACUGGCGGGCUUGAGUGGGAGAGAAGUACGCGGAAUGCGUGGUGUAGCGGUGAAAUGCUUAGAUAUCGCGCAGAACCCCGAUUGCGAAGGCAGCUUAC